UACGGAGGGUGCAAGCGUUGUUCGGAAUUACUGGGCGUAAAGCGCGCGUAGGCGGUUUGUUAAGUCAGAUGUGAAAGCCCAUGGCUCAACCAUGGACGUGCAUUUGAAACUGGUUAUCUUGAGUGUAGAAGAGGAGAGUGGAAUUCCUAGUGUAGCGGUGAAAUGCGUAGAUAUUAGGAGGAACACCAGUGGCGAAGGCGACCACCUGGCCAAAUACUGACGCUGAGGUGCGAAAGCGUGGGGAGCAAACAGG
rnacentral:rRNA from 1 species